GUGCACCAGGCGAGAAUCCUUCGCAAUGCGGGAAACCGCGACGAGGGGACUCCCAGUGCCUACGCUCAGCGUAGGCUGUUCCCGAGCCUAGAAAGCUCGGGGAGUAAGGGCUGGGUAAGACGGGUGCCAGCCGCCGCGGUAAUACCCGCAGCCCGAGUGGUGGCCACUAUUAUUGGGCCUAAAGCGUCCGUAGCCGGCCCGGUAAAUGCCUGGGUAAAUCGUGAGGCCUAACCUCACGAAUUCCGGGUAGACUGCCGGGCUAGGGACCGGAGGAGGGAGAGGGUACUCCAGGGGUAGGGGUGAAAUCCUGUAAUCCCUGGAGGACCACCGGUGGCGAAGGCGCUCUCCUAGGACGGGUCCGACGGUGAGGGACGAAAGCCAGGGGAGCGAACCGGAUUAGAUACCCGCGUAGU
rnacentral:rRNA from 1 species